AUCUAUGGCCACGCUACCCUGAACAAGCCCGAUUCCAUCUGAUCUCGGAAGCUAAGCAGGCUCAGGCCUAGUUAGUACUUAGAUGGGAGACCAACUAGGAAGACCAGGUGCUGUAUGCG
rnacentral:rRNA from 1 species